rnacentral:tRNA from 1 species
CCCUUUCUGGUCUGGUGAUUAGGAUUCCUGGUUUUCAUCCAGGCUACCCCAGGUUCAAUUCCUGGGCAGAGGA